rnacentral:rRNA from 1 species
UGAGUACGAGAUGCUACGGCAUCGAAGCAGUCUAUGUCAUACUUCCAAGAAAAGCUUGCAAUGUCAUAAACAAAUAAUGCCUGUACCAUAACCGACACAGGUGGGUAGGUAGAGUAUACUAAGGGGCGCGAGAUAACUCUCUCUAAGGAACUCGGCAAAAUGACUCCGUAACUUCGGGAGAAGGAGUGCCUUAUUUUUAUAAGGUUGCAAUAACAAGAUCCAAGCAACUGUUUACCAAAAACACAGGUCUCCGCUAAGUCGUAAGACGAUGUAUGGGGGCUGACGCCUGCCCAGUGCCAGAAGGUUAAAGAAGUUGGUUAGCAUUAGCGAAGCUGAUAACUGAAGCCCUGGUGAACGGCGGCCGUAACAAUAACGGUCCUAAGGUAGCGAAAUUCCUUGUCGGGUAAGUUCCGACCCGCACGAAAGGCGUAAUGAUUUGGAUACUGUCUCGGAGAGGGGCUCGGUGAAGUAGACUUGUCUGUGAAGAUGCGGACUACCUGCACCUGGACAGAAAGACCCUAUGAAGCUUUACUGUAACUUGAGAUUGAAAUUGGACUUUAUCUGCGCAGUAUAGGUGGGAGACGUUGAAAAUAUUCUUGCGGGAAUAUUGGAGUCAUCAGUGAGAUACCACUCUUAUAAUGUUAGAUUUCUAACUUUGUAUCAUUAUCUGGUCAAAGAACAGUUUCAGGCGGGCAGUUUGACUGGGGCGGUCGCCUCCCAAACGGUAACGGAGGCGCACAAAGGUUUCCUCUGAACGUGUAGAAAUCGUAUCUAGAGUGUAAAGGCAUAAGGAAGCUUGACUGUGAGACCUACAAGUCGAGCAGGGACGAAAGUCGGUCUUAGUGAUCUGACGGUGCUGAGUGGAAAGGCCGUCACUCAACGGAUAAAAGUUACUCUAGGAUAACAGGCUGAUCUCCCCCAAGAGUUCACAUCGACGGGGAGGUUUGGCACCUCGAUGUCGGCUCAUCGCAUCCUGGGGCGGUAGUACGUCCCAAGGGUUGGGCUGUUCGCCCAUGAAAGCGGUACGCGAGCUGGGUUCAGAACGUCGUGAGACAGUUCGGUCCAUAUCCGGUGUAGGCGUUAGAAUAUUGAGAGGAGCCUUCUUUAGUACGAGAGGACCGAGAAGGACAUACCUCUGGUGUACCAGUUAUCGUGCCAACGGUAAACGCUGGGUAGCCAUGUAUGGAGAGGAUAACCGCUGAAAGCAUCUAAGUGGGAAGCCCACCUCAAGAUAAG